AAAUUCUUUGAUAACGUCAUUAAGGUUAACAAAAUCAUUUAACGACAAUAUUCAUCUCUUAAUUAUAAGGCUUAUUGGACCUAUAGACGGGUCAUAAAAGAUUUCCUAAACUGAAGCAAAAUAUACUGAAUAUUCAAAUAUCUAUCUGUUACCAAAUUAUAAACAAAUAAGUUCGUAAAAUAAUUUAAUAUUUUACAUACAAAAUCAAUUAAAUCUUAAUCACAUAAAAAUUAGCACAAAAAAAUAUUCAACAAUUAAAAAAUUAUCAAAUCUCGGUGUUAUAUAAAUUUUGAUACUAUAUUCGAAUAAAGUGUAAUAUACCUUUUCAAUUUGUAUUCUUUAACUAAUUUAUGCUAACUAAUAUAUUUGCUAAUCGUAUACCUAUCAAAACCGACUAUCGUUUCUUAUCUCUAUAGUAUUUUUGCAAGACUUUUUUGGUGGAUUUGGGUAAAAGUGCAUUCGGGUCAUAUGGUACAUUCUCCUAUUAAAUAAAUAUGGUGCACUCCUAUGUUAUUAGCUAAAAUGUUUAGAUUAUCAUUUAGAGUCAUGUCAUAAAUAAAAUUAAUAUUAAUAAAAUAAAUGGUAAAACAAUUACAGAACGGGUUUUAUUUUGGAAUUGGGUUAUAUGGUGGAUGUAUUUGAAUCAAUAUCUAUAAAAUUUUAA
rnacentral:sRNA from 1 species